UAUCAUCUUCCUCCUGGCUUCGAACCAAGCUCGCCUCCCUGGGUUCAGGAGGCUCAAGUCGGCCGUCAUGAUCCUUGUCUCCUCGGCGAGCAUAGCGGCCUCGGCUUCCUUGAUCCUUGCCGCCGCAUUGGUGGCCUCCUCGAUGGCGAGCUUCCUUUUUUGAAGCUCGAGGUAACUGUUCAUUUGUUUCUUUUUUUUUGUUGGAACUUCUCCCUCUUCGCCUCCUUGUUAGCCAAAAUCUUCUUGACCGUCUCUUCGAAUGCGAGGUUGGAGGUCUCACGCUUUGCAUCGCCCUUGGAGUUUGUCCUUUCCUUCGUCCGGCACGUGAUGCUACCUCGUUGUGGCCAGAGGCCUCAAGGUCGAUGGUGCUCGCCUCCCGCUACUUCCCAUUGAAACCGGCCUUCUUGAUGGAGACAUAGAGCUCUUGCCACUUGGGGGCCUCCUUGAGGAUCCGCCAACAAUGAGGCAUGGUAAAUGGCUUCCCACGAAUCUCCAUGAAAUACUCUAAAGCUUGGAACGCCUACCAACAAUGGACCAUUCAUCACGAGGAAAACACACAUGGCUUCAUGAGGACCACAACAACAGUAUCACUUACCAAGUCUUGGACGCCGACGCCUCUAACAGGCUUGUCCCUCACGUGAUCGUUGGUGCCCGCAAACUUGUUCCAUUCACACCCUUCGGUUCUAUUUACUGACUUUUUCCAUUCACACCCUUCGGUUCUGUUUAAAUCCACUAGUCCAGAAAACAGUAAGAAGGAGUGUAGCGUGCAUUGAUUCGCAACAAACUUAAGGGCCAAAAUGGAAACCUGAUGAAAUCCAGGCCCUUGCUUUCCCAUCCAACCGUU
rnacentral:lncRNA from 1 species